rnacentral:rRNA from 1 species
GGAUUGUAGGCUGCGACUCGCCUACAUGAAGUCGGAAUCGCUAGUAAUCGCGGAUCAGCAUGCCGCGGUGAAUACGUUCCCGGGCCUUGUACACACCGCCCGUCACACCAUGAGAGUUUGUAACACCCAAAGCCGGUGGGGUAACCUUUUGGAGCCAGCCGUCUAAGGUGGGACAGAUGAUUGGGGUGAAGUCGUAACAAGGUAUC